UAGAUUGAAGCCCGCUGGAUUGGGUUUUUAGUUGUUAACUAAAGGAUUAUGGGAUCAAGGCCCGUCGAUCUAG
rnacentral:tRNA from 1 species